GCUCCAAUAGCGUAUAUUAAAGUUGUUGCAGUUAAAAAGCUCGUAGUUGGAUUUCUGGGAGGGUGCCAAUGUCCGCCGACGUGCGUGCGCAGCGGCGCCCUCUCAUCCUUCUGUUAACGUCUCUCAGCAUUUAUUUGCCGGUGGCGGGCUCAGAUAUUUUACCUUGAGAAAAUUAGAGUGUUUCAGGCAGGCUAGGCCGGAAUACAUUAGCAUGGAAUAAUGGAAUAGGACUUCGGUCUCUUUGUUGGUUUGAGGGACUGCAGUAAUGAUUAAUAGGGAUAGUUGGGGGCAUUAGUAUUUAAUUGUCAGAGGUGGAAUUCUCGGAUUUGUUAAAGACUAACUUAUGCGAAAGCAUUUGCCAAGGAUGUUUUCA
rnacentral:rRNA from 1 species